rnacentral:rRNA from 1 species
AGAGUUUGAUCCUGGCUCAGAUUGAACGCUGGCGGCAGGCCUAACACAUGCAAGUCGAACGGUAGCAGGAAGUGCUUGCACUUUGCUGACGAGUGGCGGACGGGUGAGUAAUGCUUGGGAACUUGCCUUUAGGUGGGGGAUAACAGUUGGAAACGACUGCUAAUACCGCAUAAUGUCUACGGACCAAAGGGGGCUUCGGCUCUCGCCUUGAGAGAGGCCCAAGUGAGAUUAGCUAGUUGGUGGGGUAAAGGCCUACCAAGGCAACGAUCUCUAGCUGUUCUGAGAGGAAGAUCAGCCACACUGGGACUGAGACACGGCCCAGACUCCUACGGGAGGCAGCAGUGGGGAAUAUUGCACAAUGGGGGAAACCCUGAUGCAGCCAUGCCGCGUGUGUGAAGAAGGCCUUCGGGUUGUAAAGCACUUUCAGUUGUGAGGAAAGGUUGGUAGUUAAUACCUGCCAGCUGUGACGUUAACAACAGAAGAAGCACCGGCUAACUCCGUGCCAGCAGCCGCGGUAAUACGGAGGGUGCGAGCGUUAAUCGGAAUUACUGGGCGUAAAGCGCACGCAGGCGGCUUGUUAAGCUAGAGGUGAAAGCCCCGCGCUCAACGUGGGAACUGCCUUUAGAACUGGCAGGCUAGAGUCUUGGAGAGGGGAGUGGAAUUCCAGGUGUAGCGGUGAAAUGCGUAGAUAUCUGGAGGAACAUCAGUGGCGAAGGCGGCUCCCUGGCCAAAGACUGACGCUCAUGUGCGAAAGUGUGGGUAGCGAACAGGAUUAGAUACCCUGGUAGUCCACACCGUAAACGCUGUCUACUAGCUGUUUGUGUAUUUAAUACGUGAGUAGCGAAGCUAACGCGCUAAGUAGACCGCCUGGGGAGUACGGCCGCAAGGUUAAAACUCAAAUGAAUUGACGGGGGCCCGCACAAGCGGU